rnacentral:tRNA from 1 species
CAAGACCUGCGAACUACUACAACGCAUCUUCUGAAUGCAACCCAGACACUUUAAUUAAGCUAAGGCCUC